rnacentral:rRNA from 1 species
UCAGGCCUAACACAUGCAAGUCGAGCGCGGGAAGCAGGCAGAUCCUCUUCGGAGGUGACGCCUGUGGAACGAGCGGCGGACGGGUGAGUAACACGUGGGCAACCUGCCUGUAAGAUUGGGAUAACCCCGGGAAACCGGGGCUAAUACCGGAUAAUACUUUUCGUUGCAUAACGAGAAGUUGAAAGGCGGCUUUUAGCUGUCACUUACAGAUGGGCCCGCGGCGCAUUAGCUAGUUGGUAAGGUAACGGCUUACCAAGGCGACGAUGCGUAGCCGACCUGAGAGGGUGAUCGGCCACACUGGGACUGAGACACGGCCCAGACUCCUACGGGAGGCAGCAGUAGGGAAUCUUCCGCAAUGGACGAAAGUCUGACGGAGCAACGCCGCGUGAGUGAUGAAGGUUUUCGGAUCGUAAAACUCUGUUGUCAGGGAAGAACAAGUGCCGUUCAAAUAGGGCGGCACCUGAC